CGUGCUUCACCCCCGGUUUUCGUCACGCGAGUUUUAAAAGUUUCGGAUUAUUUUGUGCGAAUAAAGGUGCGAAAAAUGGGCAGUGAAGUGAUUAGAAGAAGCAUAAAGUUAGCAUCGAUGUUGGAUACUCACAUAAAUGCGGAGAAAUUUUUAACUAAAUAUCUAACGUUUCGCUCGAUGCCAACUAUCUGCUUUUCACACGUUUUUUGUGCGAAUGUUCUGAUACAAUAUUGGGAGUAUUGUAUUAGUUAGAUACUUUGGUACCGACGCGCGUUUACUCCGGAUUGCCGGAGAAAUAAUUGAAACGUGACGUGCGGUUGGACACGAGGAGGAGGAUGUGGGUGGACACAUCCAAAAUCUCCUCUCUCAUCUCCACAAUCGUAAGUGACUCUCUAUUUUUAUAAAAGCAACUCAUAUAUCGAACUCGCGAUUUAGCUAAUUUUUAAUAAUAAAUUAUAGUAAGAAAUGCACGUCAAAGAGUCACUGCGGUGAUGAAUCCGCUCACGCAAAUUCGAAGGCGACACGCGGAGGACGAGGCAGAAGCAGGUCCAGCGCGUAAGCAAUAUUAUUAAAAACUAGACAGGAGUAAAAAUACAAUUUUCCAAGAUUAAAAUAUUAAAUGCUUUUAGAAAGGUCGUAUUGAACGCAGGAAUUAGAGGAGGAGGCGCCAGAAAUUAUUCAGCUUUCAUUUGGUAAGUUUACAUUUUUAAAUAAAUAAUUUUUAAAACAAAUAGUAAAAGUUAGAAAAUCUUAAUACAACUUUGUUUUUAGAUACGGCAGUAAGUACUCCCGAUCAGCGAGUGUUUUCGCCCGAAUACGACCAUAUGUACUCCCCCGUAAUCCCGGAAGAGAGAAUUUGGAGCGAUGAAGAAGGGGAAGAAGAAGAA